UUCAGAUCCUACCCAUAUGAAACCCUAGAUCUCUUCUACUGCCCUCAGUCAACAAGAUCUAGAUGCUUAGAUUUACCCUUUAAUGCGUAUAGAAUUCUAAAAGAUUAUCAAAAGAAAAUGCAGACAUGUGUGAAGAUGUCUUCUGUCCAAUUGGUUACAAGACUGGAUUUCUCCGAUCUGCUUGGUUUGGAUGAUUUCAACUUCUUUCAUUUUCAAAACAAACUUUAUAAGAAAUUCAACAUGUUAACGACUGAUGAGCAUGACCAUGCUGAGUUAUGUUAUGUAUCUUACGGAGUUUAAGUUUGGUGAUGACAAAAAAGUAGCUGAUCUGUCACUAAAGGCUUAUCAAGUAAGUUGUUUAUUUAUUUAUUUAUGGAGUAAAAUGUCAAUUUCGUCCCUGGAGUUUGACCAGUUUGUAUGAUUCUAUAUACUUUGUAACGUGUAUUAUUCGAGGAAAAGGGACUGUUAUAAGGAUGAGCAAAUGAUAUGUAAGUCCCGUUUAACCGGAUCUUUCAAUGAUAUCAAACAACACCAAGUUUGUGCGGAAUCCAAACUUGAUGUGAUUCAAGAACAAAUCGAGAAAUAUGAAGAACGAACCGAAAAUAUGAAACGAAGAACAAACCGAAUCACUUUUAACCACUUGCACACGAUUCUAUUACUUGAAUAAGCAAAACCGUCUGGUACAAAUGAUCACCACCAACUCGAAACCUCUAGCUCUCUCUCUAGGAAAUCUGUAACU